rnacentral:tRNA from 1 species
GGUGGGUUCGUAUAACGGCUAGUACUCAGGAUUUUCAUUCCUGCAAUAGGAGUUCGAUUCUCCUACCCACUACCA